GGAAUCUUGCGCAAUGGGCGAAAGCCUGACGCAGCAACGCCGCGUGCGGGAAGAAGGCUUUCGGGCUGUAAACCGCUUUCAGCAGGAACGAAAAUGACGGUACCUGCAGAAGAAGGAGCGGCCAACUAUGUGCCAGCAGCCGCGGUGAUACAUAGGCUUCAAGCGUUGUCCGGAUUUAUUGGGCGUAAAGAGUUCGUAGGCGGUCGAGUAAGUCGGGUGUGAAAAUUCUGGGCUCAACCCAGAGACGCCACCCGAUACUGCUUAACUUGAGUUCGAUAGGGGAGUGGGGAAUUCCUAGUGUAGCGGUGAAAUGCGCAGAUAUUAGGAGGAACACCGGUGGCGAAGGCGCCACUCUGGAUCGACACUGACGCUGAGGAACGAAAGCAUGGGUAGCAAACAGGAUUAGAUACCCUGGUAGUCCAUGCGGUAAACGGUGGGCACUAGGUGUGGGUUUCUAUUAACGAAAUCCGCGCCGUCGCUAACGCAUUAAGUGCCCCGCCUGGGGAGUACGGUCGCAAGACUAAAACUCAAAGGAAUUGACGG
rnacentral:rRNA from 1 species